rnacentral:rRNA from 1 species
CCUACGGGUGGCAGCAGUGAGGAAUAUUGGUCAAUGGCCGUAAGGCUGAACCAGCCAAGUAGCGUGAGGGAAGACUGCCCUAUGGGUUGUAAACCUCUUUUAUGUGGGGAUAAAGGGGUCCACGUGUGGAUGUUUGUAGGUACCGUAUGAAUAAGGACCGGCUAAUUCCGUGCCAGCAGCCGCGGUAAUACGGAAGGUCCGGGCGUUAUCCGGAUUUAUUGGGUUUAAAGGGAGCGUAGGUCGGUCUUUAAGCGUGUCGUGAAAUUUUGUGGCUCAACCAUGAGAGUGCGGUGCAAACUGGCAGCCUUGAGUGCGCGGAAGGCAGGCGGAAUUCGUGGUGUAGCGGUGAAAUGCUUAGAUAUCACGAAGAACCCCGAUUGCGAAGGCAGUCUGCCGCAGCGUUACUGACACUGAAGCUCGAAAGCGCGGGUAUCAAACAGGAUUAGAUACCCUUGUAGUC